rnacentral:rRNA from 1 species
UAAUUUGAGAGUUUGAUCCUGGCUCAGGACGAACGCUGGCGGCGUGCCUAAUACAUGCAAGUCGAACGAACUCUGGUAUUGAUUGGUGCUUGCAUCAUGAUUUACAUUUGAGUGAGUGGCGAACUGGUGAGUAACACGUGGGAAACCUGCCCAGAAGCGGGGGAUAACACCUGGAAACAGAUGCUAAUACCGCAUAACAACUUGGACCGCAUGGUCCGAGUUUGAAAGAUGGCUUCGGCUAUCACUUUUGGAUGGUCCCACGGCGUAUUAGCUAGAUGGUGGGGUAACGGCUCACCAUGGCAAUGAUACGUAGCCGACCUGAGAGGGUAAUCGGCCACAUUGGGACUGAGACACGGCCCAAACUCCUACGGGAGGCAGCAGUAGGGAAUCUUCCACAAUGGACGAAAGUCUGAUGGAGCAACGCCGCGUGAGUGAAGAAGGGUUUCGGCUCGUAAAACUCUGUUGUUAAAGAAGAACAUAUCUGAGAGUAACUGUUCAGGUAUUGACGGUAUUUAACCAGAAAGCCACGGCUAACUACGUGCCAGCAGCCGCGGUAAUACGUAGGUGGCAAGCGUUGUCCGGAUUUAUUGGGCGUAAAGCGAGCGCAGGCGGUUUUUUAAGUCUGAUGUGAAAGCCUUCGGCUCAACCGAAGAAGUGCAUCGGAAACUGGGAAACUUGAGUGCAGAAGAGGACAGUGGAACUCCAUGUGUAGCGGUGAAAUGCGUAGAUAUAUGGAAGAACACCAGUGGCGAAGGCGGCUGUCUGGUCUGUAACUGACGCUGAGGCUCGAAAGUAUGGGUAGCAAACAGGAUUAGAUACCCUGGUAGUCCAUACCGUAAACGAUGAAUGCUAAGUGUUGGAGGGUUUCCGCCCUUCAGUGCUGCAGCUAACGCAUUAAGCAUUCCGCCUGGGGAGUACGGCCGCAAGGCUGAAACUCAAAGGAAUUGACGGGGGCCCGCACAAGCGGUGGAGCAUGUGGUUUAAUUCGAAGCUACGCGAAGAACCUUACCAGGUCUUGACAUACUAUGCAAAUCUAAGAGAUUAGACGUUCCCUUCGGGGACAUGGAUACAGGUGGUGCAUGGUUGUCGUCAGCUCGUGUCGUGAGAUGUUGGGUUAAGUCCCGCAACGAGCGCAACCCUUAUUAUCAGUUGCCAGCAUUAAGUUGGGCACUCUGGUGAGACUGCCGGUGACAAACCGGAGGAAGGUGGGGAUGACGUCAAAUCAUCAUGCCCCUUAUGACCUGGGCUACACACGUGCUACAAUGGAUGGUACAACGAGUUGCGAACUCGCGAGAGUAAGCUAAUCUCUUAAAGCCAUUCUCAGUUCGGAUUGUAGGCUGCAACUCGCCUACAUGAAGUCGGAAUCGCUAGUAAUCGCGGAUCAGCAUGCCGCGGUGAAUACGUUCCCGGGCCUUGUACACACCGCCCGUCACACCAUGAGAGUUUGUAACACCCAAAGUCGGUGGGGUAACCUUUUAGGAACCAGCCGCCUAAGGUGGGACAGAUGAUUAGGGUGAAGUCGUAACAAGGUAGCCGUAGGAGAACCUGCGGCUGGAUCACCUCCUUU